CCCCCCUUCCUCUUUUCUUUUCUUCUUUCCUUUCUUCUUUUUCCCUCCCGGUUGCAGCUCCCUUUCCCCUUCUCUCUUUCUCUUUUCUUCUUCCUUUCUUCUCUCUGUUCCACACACUAACGCCCGAAAGAAGACAACAGAGUGAGUGAGAGGGAGAUGAGAUCGAGAGAGUAAGACGGAGAGUGAGGGAUCGAGAUCGAGAGAUUGAGAGGGAGAUCAGAGAGACGGAUUCUGGAGCCCGAUCCUCCGGUGGGUGACGCCGACGAGACCAGAGAACGCCGGCGACGAGAUCUCCGGUGAGGCCGUGAACCAGAGAUGACCCGGGAGAGAGAACCCGUAACCCGGUGACCCGAGCAACCCAGGGAGACCUGUAACCCGAAAGGCCCAGAGACCUGAUCCUCCAUGGGCGUUCUCCGGCGAGUUUUCCGGCGGUCAAGUGAGGCAAUUUCCGGCGGAUUUUCUAGGAAAAUCCUCUAGGCUUGUGUCAUCAUUGGAGACUUUAAUUGGUUCUCCAAUGUUGUGUCCAAGUGACGAGAACCCAGUGGGAUGUUGGAGUCGUGAGUCCAAUGCAACCAGGUGAGUAUUCUACUCACUGAGAAACUAUUAUUUUUAUGUAUUGUAGAUUUGCAAAAUAUAUAUGUUGUUUUAUAAAAAUGAACCAACUGUAUGUUGAAUAUAACUGUUUUGGAUGAUUUGAGUACUUUUGAUUAUCUUGAAAUUAUGAUGGUGUUGAAGUAUGUAUAUGAUAUAUGGAGUUUGAAUAAAUGGUGUGACUCUAGGAUAUGGAUGGGGAUUUUUGUAGACUAGGAUUGCAUUGUAAAUGAUUGAGUUUUUAGUGUGAGUUAUAAAGGGGGGGACAUGAUGCAUUGCGUGCUUAAUUGCACAGCCUUGAGUUACGACUCUAUGUUAAUGGAGAUGAAGAUUCUAUGAUAAUGUGGGUGACGACCCUAUGUUAAAGGAAGUGAUGAUUCAAUGUUAAUGUGAGUUUCGACUCUAUGUUACCUGAGCCUCGGCUCAUGAUACAAGCAUGUGCAUACAUAUAGUAUAGUGUGUCAGUGAAUACUGUUUUUAUGAUAUGUAUAUUUCUAUUUGCAUGAUUUAAAGGCAUCGAGCUUUAGUAUACCUAGAUUGUACGCUACUGGAUUGGGUAAUGUAAGUGUCUCUUGACAUGAAGUUACCUAUAUCUUGCAAUGCUGUUUCUUUGUGUUACUGAGUAAGAUACCAUUGUUUUAUGCUUGAUGUACCUAGACUGUACGCUACUGGAUUGGGUAAUGUAAGUGUCUUUUGACAUGAAGUUAUCACAUCUGGCAAUGCUGUUUCUUUGUACAUUUGAGCCACCAUUAUUUUAUGCGUGAUGUACCUAGACUGUACGCUAUUGGAUUGGCCGGGUAAUGUAAGUGUCUUUUAACAUUAAGUUAUCACAUCUGGCAAUGCUGUUUCUUUGUACAUUUGAGUCAUCAUUGUUUUAUGCUUGAUGUACCUAGACUGUACGCUACUGGAUUGGGUAAUGUAAGUGUCUUUUGACAUGAAGUUAUCUUUUGACAUGAAGUUAUCACAUCUGGCAAUGCUAUUUCUUUGUACAUUUGAGCCACAAAAUACAGUAGUUUUAUAGUAGGUGAGAAGAUAUGUAGUUGUUUCCGAGGUGGGAUGACUGUAACUUCUAUAUGUGUUCGCAGCUACAUAGUAUGCUUUAAAUGUUUUCUAUUAGUCGGUGUUUGCUAAAUUAGCUAUGAGGAUUUUCAAACAAAAGUUUAUAAAUUGGUAGCUGUUAUGGUGUACACGAGCCUAAAAAUGAAAAGUUGGUUCUUUGUGAAAACUCAGUGAAUAGUAUACCUCUGAGGUCUUAGUGUAUUAUUUAUGCUAAGGUGGUGGGCUCAUAAUUCCACCUAUACGAAUGUGGCAAACCCCUACAACCGUAUAGAUGUAGUUUCUUUGGCUGCAGGUAUUUUGGUCGUAGUUGAUGUUAUAGAAGUGUACUUGAGAUAUUCUGACUGAAGCUCGCCGCGAUGGUUGUAAUUGUCAGACUAUGGGUUGUCCACUAUUCUAUAGGUUUGUUUAUGGCUUGUGACGUUUGUGUCACUUGUUAUUGUAUAAAGCCAUUUAUGUUUGUAUUUAUUAUGAGAAAAGACUUAAACAGAUAGAUGUAAUAUGUCUCUUUGUUUAUGAUUAUUUGUAAUAGAGGUUUAUGUUAUGAUUUCCGCUA